UACAGAGGGUGCGAGCGUUAAUCGGAAUUACUGGGCGUAAAGCGUGCGUAGGUGGUUUGUUAAGUCAGGUGUGAAAUCCUUGGGCUCAACCUGAGAAUUGCAUUUGAAACUGGCAAACUCGAGUGUGGUAGAGGGUAGUGGAACUCCCGGUGUAGCGGUGAAAUGCGUAGAUAUCGGGAAGAACACCAGUGGCGAAGGCGGCUACCUGGACCAACACUGACACUGAGGCACGAAAGCGUGGGGAGCAAACAGG
rnacentral:rRNA from 1 species